rnacentral:misc_RNA from 1 species
GGCGUCGGCGGCGUCGUCGGCGUCUGUUGGCGUAUUUCAGUUUACCUUCGCACUCCUCCGAGCACUUGGCUUCGCGGUUUGCCGACCGACCGCUCCGCGCGUGCCGCCAGCGCCGCGCUCCCGCCACUCCGAACCAAACCUCUCGAACGACAACAUGGACUACAUGGACCGGCGGCGGCGGCUGCACCCGCGGCUCGCCAUGAUGGCCGCGCUGCUGGACGACUGGUCGCUGCCGUUCACGCGGAACGCGGCGACGCAGGGACGUCGCGGCAGCGGACUCACGUUCCCCAAGUGGCUGCUCGACGACGGCGAGGAGGACGCCGACGACAGCCCCGUGCUGCGCCGCAGCAGGUCGACGUGGGCCACGUGGCCCAGCAUGGACGAGGACAGCGGUCGUACCAAGUGGCUGCUGGACGACGAGCCCUGGUGGACCACGUCCGCGCAGCGCCGCGAGCACCGCGAACAGCAUCCCCGCGACCAGGAGGAGCUCCGCGCCGCGCGCAGGCGGUACUUCGAGCCGCGGCACGGCCGCCGCCAGGACCACGACGACGCCGACGACGACAGGAGGGUGUCCUUCCGCGAGGUGCCGAUCCGAACCAGCGGCCAGGACCACGACGACGACUUCCGCCGCCGCGACGCCCCGGCGAGGGACGCCGUGUUCAUCCGCGAGGUGCCCGUCAACAGGAACAGCGCGGCCAGGGUGUCCUUCCACGACGAUAGGGCCGCCGUCGAGGAGCCCGCCAGCCCCAUGCACGCCCGCGUUCAGGACUUCCUGCGCAGGGGCGCCUCCGCCGGCAGGGACGUCCCCGCCAGGGACGCCGACGCCACUAGGACCUUCACCAGGGAAGUCCCGAUCGCCGUCGGCACCGAUAGAAGCGAGGACUCCGGCAUCACCACAAGGACGACAUUCGGGACCAGGGCCGUCCCCACCUCGCUGGUGACAGACAGCGGCGGAGAGCCAAAAGGGGUGCCACUCAAGAGGGACAACACCGUCAUAGAAGUCGUGCCCGCGAAGACCGCCCCCGUCACACGGGACAUCCCCAUCACGAGGGACGUCUUCGUCACGCCGGCUUCAAGAGACAACCCUGUCACCAGAGACGCCUUUGUCACGCCGGCUUCAAGAGACAUCCCUGUCACCAGAGACGCCUUCGUCACGCCGGCUUCAAGAGACAACCCUGUCACCAGAGACGCCUUCGUCACGCCGGCUUCAAGAGACAUCCCUGUCACAAGAGACACUCCAGUCACGAGAGACAUGCCGGCUUCACGAGGCGUCUGGGACAUCCCCGUCACGAUGGACUCCACUUUCAGCAGGGAUGCGACCCCCAAUAGAAAGGGCGGCUCCGUCACACGAGACAUCCCCGUCGCAAGAGACGUCCCAGAUACGAAGGACAUCCCUGUCACCAGAACCGUCCCCAUCACGAUGGACGACACGAUUCCGGACUCGCCCGUCACGAGGGACAUUCCCGUCACGCUGGACGCCUUCCAGCCGAGCACCGCGACGAGCACCGCGACCGAGGGCGCCUGGAGCGGACAGGCCGACGACGACACGGAGACUGAGGACGUGGAGCAGGACGGCACCAUGGUGCCGCAGCACCAGCUGCGCAGGGAGCAGAAGCGGUGCCUGCAUCUGCAGGACGAGAACCUGCGCCUCAAGGCCGUCAUCACCACGAUCCAGGAGACCAACAAGCGGUGGCAGGGUUUCAACGCGGCGCGGCAGGCCUACAUCGAGAGGCUGCUGAGCACCAUCGAGGAGCAGCAGGUGCAGCUCAACGCGUGCCUCGACGCGCUCAAGACGUCGUCACCGAAGCUCGCCGCCAAACCGGCGCCGCCCGCCCCCGCCGCACCGGGAAACGCCGCCCCCGCCGCCCCCACAAACGCCGCCCCCGCAGCCCCCACAGACACCGCCCCCGCGGCCCCGGACGUCAUGAACGCGGAGGGGCGGCUGAAGCGCCUCCAGGGUGAGGUGUCCGACUUGCAGCGUCGCCUGCAGGAGGCCAAGAAGGAGCACCGGGACACGGUGUGCAUGCUGCAGCAGGUCAGCAACCAGCCAGCGGCCCCCGCGCGGUCCGACCACGGCGUGGAGGAGACGCCCCCGCCGAAGGAGUCCGCACACCCGGAGCAGAACAAGCUCUCCGAGGACUCGGCGGCGAGGCUAAGGGGCACCACCAGCCCGCGGCCGCGGUCGCCCGCCGCGCCACACCGGCCGUGCUACUACGACGUGGUCACGGACAACCCGGCCAGCCCCGCCAGCCCCGCCACGACGACGCCCUUCUUCGCGGAGCGAGAGCGCGAGCGGACGCAGUACUCCUUCAACGGCGACGCGCUGCACAAGCACCUGCAGCAGCGACGCGGGGUGUCGCCCGCCCUGUCGGACGCGCUGACGCCGACCCCGACGCCGCCCCCGCAGCACCAGCGCCCGGAGGAGCAGCACGCCGACGGGUACCCCGUCGAACUGAGCGGCUCCUACUCGUCCCUGUGCAGCUACAGCGGCCCCGCGCCGCACGUCAGUGUGCCCAGCAGCAGCAGGGCCACCACCCCGGACCAGGACGUGUCCAUGUGCUCCGACGCCACCCUGGACUGCUCGCCGCCGUCCCCCGUGCAGACCUCCGAGCGGGAGCGGGAGCGGGGGCGGGCGGACCCCUUCUGGCGCGGCCUGGGCUUGCGACUGUUCUGAGCGGACAGGACGGCGGACCGCCUGCAACCUAGGCCAGGGCAGCCGUGGUCGCGGGCACAGGGCAGACGACGGGCACGCUGACGGUGGGCUUCACCGGUGCGGGGCUCGCCAGCAUCACCGCCUUCCACGUGCGCCCCUCCGCCCCCAGCCCCGCGCCAACGCC